UGACGUCAUCAGUGACGUCACUGAUGACGUCAUCGGUGAUGGUGACGAUGACGAUGCGGAUGCCGGUGACGUUAUCAGUGACGUCACUGAUGACGUCAU
rnacentral:pre_miRNA from 1 species